rnacentral:misc_RNA from 1 species
UGGUUCUGGCAUCGAUGAAGAACGCAGCGAAAUGCGAUAAGUAAUGCGAAUUGCAGAAUUCAGUGAGUCAUCGAAUCUUUGAACACAUAUCGCGCCCUUUGGUAUUCCGAAGGGCAUGCCUGUUCGAGCGUCAUUAUCAACCAUCAAGCCUGGCUUGUUGUUAGACUUUUGGUUAUAAAACCGGUCUGAAAGAUAGCAGAUGGGAUCUGGCAGCCCUGGAUAUAAUAAGCUGUUUAUAGCACAUAUCUAUAGGUUAGCAGCCCUAUCUUUAAACCCCUAAUUUUCUCAGGUUGACCUCGGAUCAGGUAGGAAUACCCGCUGA